rnacentral:rRNA from 1 species
UACUCCUACGGGAGGCAGCAGUAGGGAAUCUUCCGCAAUGGGACGAAAGUCUGACGGAGCAACGCCGCGUGAGUGAUGAAGGUUUUCGGAUCGUAAAGCUCUGUUGUUAGGGAAGAACAAGUGCGAGAGUAACUGCUCGCACCUUGACGGUACCUAACCAGAAAGCCACGGCUAACUACGUGCCAGCAGCCGCGGUAAUACGUAGGUGGCAAGCGUUGUCCGGAAUUAUUGGGCGUAAAGGGCUCGCAGGCGGUUUCUUAAGUCUGAUGUGAAAGCCCCCGGCUCAACCGGGGAGGGUCAUUGGAAACUGGGAAACUUGAGUGCAGAAGAGGAGAGUGGAAUUCCACGUGUAGCGGUGAAAUGCGUAGAGAUGUGGAGGAACACCAGUGGCGAAGGCGACUCUCUGGUCUGUAACUGACGCUGAGGAGCGAAAGCGUGGGGAGCGAACAGGAUAGAUACCCUGGUAGUCCA